GCUCCUUCUCCAGCACCACGUCUGCCUGCACGCCGCCACAAUGAUAGUGGACUAAACCUCUGAAACUGUAAGCCAGCCCCAAUGAAAUGUUUUCCUUAUAAGAGUUGCAGUGGUCAUGAUGGCUCUUCACAGCAGUAGACACCCCAACUAAGGCAGUCACUAUCCAUGAGGAUGAGGCUCCACCCCAGAGCAAAACAAAUCACAUCCUAAGAACCAACUUGUUCUCUCAUGCCUCUUUUGGACCAUCUUAGAGUACCACAACUGAGACAAUGAUCAAGAAGACCACACCUUGACAGGACAGCGUCAUCAUGCAUACCUUUGGUCCCUUACCCCAGUUCUUCCUUUAUUUAAAUCUAAAGCUCAAGUAGCCACAUUGAACAACUCCCCGCCCUGCUUUCACCAUUACUCACCUCCUUAACCAAUGUAUUAGGAGCAGGUGGCUGGACCUAGCCUGUUCAGACUGCCCUAAAAUCUCGGUUUACAGCAGGAGUCAAACCAGGUGAGGGUAAUGUCCUAUCAGCCAAGUGGAGAAGUCUUUCAAGGAAGACUUGAGGAGAUCUUCACCUCUGCCAGGGCUGCUGGAGGAAAAGGAGCCAGAACCUGCAUGGAGGGAGCGUUCACCACCAUGACAGAGCCCGUGACAGUGGGUGGAUAACAGGCUAAAAUCAGGUCUCAUGUAGACCAGAUUAGCAUCCAACUUGCUACAUAUCCAAAACUGGCUUUGAACUCCAAAUCCUGCCUUCACCUCCAAGUACUAGGAUUACAAUUGUAUGCCACCAAGCCCAGCUCUCAAAUCUGUAUUCAUUUGGAUAAUAAAUGAAAUGUCCUUUCACUGACAUAAAGCCAA